rnacentral:rRNA from 1 species
AUGCUGAAGCACCCCGACCCGUUCAAGGACCUGUGGCUCGACCUCAAGGUCAUGGCCAACACCCUGCCCCGGUGCAAGCGCUCCGAGCGCGCGCGCACGGAGGUCGAGGCGCUCCUCGGCGCCGGCUGCAGCCCCGUGUGGCUCACUGGCCACUCCCUCGGAGCGUCCCUGGCGCUGGACGUGGGGCGGAGGAUGAUGGCGGAGAAUGGGGUGAGCCUCCCGACCUUCCUCUUCAACCCGCCGCAGGUGUCGCCCGCGCCGGUGAUCAACGCGCUGCGGCCGACGGAGGUGGGGAAGAGGGACCUGUACGCCACCAGCUACGUCUUGAAGGCCGGCCUCGGGCUGGUCCUCAGCCCCCACCGAAAGCGCAUGGAGGCGCUGUUCCAGAGGCUGGCCCCGUGGGCGCCGCGGCUGUACGUGCACGACAGGGACGUCGUCUGCCUGGGCUUCAUCGACUACUUCCAGCAGCGGCAGCUGAUUCAGGAGCGCUUCCGCGGGGUGGCCCGGUCGGCGAUGACGCUGUCGUACCGUGACAUGCUCUUCUCCUUGGUCGGCGCCGACAAGGAGCGGCCGCAUCUCCUGCCUUCGGCCAUGCUGGUGAAGAACUCCAGCGACUGCGACGCCCACGGGCUCGAGCAAUGGUGGAAGCCAGACGGCGAGCUCAACUUGAGCGCCACGCGUUACAGCUAUCCUGGAGCUUAA